UUUCUUUUUCCGUUUCCUCUUUUGUCCUUGCAGAGAUGAAAGAAAAAGCUGAGUUCUACUUUGUGGAAAAGGUGGGAGAAAGCUGUUGGAGAACCUUCAGAAGGUUUGUCAGAGCUCCACUGUUGGGAGUGCAGAGGUGAGAUGAGAAGAAGAGGAAACGUGUUCUCGCUUGCAACAAGUAUGUAAAUGUCUUUCCUACAUGUAUCCAACUUGUACACUUGUGUGUAUUAUGCUGAAAUGGGAAUUUUAUUUUUGGAGCCGAGUAGAAGCUGUUGCCUGUUUGAAAGGAUGACAUGAGGUCAAACCUCACUAACUCCUGGACGACAAGUGUCACAUGGCAGUCUGUCACCAAAGCACUGAUCAAACCUUUUUUGAAUAAUUUGGUAAAAGAAUAAUAAAAAAAAAGUUAGUGUUUGUGCUCUUACCGCAGUGUGAUCUCCAUUGCAGGACCUGUGAUUCUUCAGCAUGUUACAUAAGUUCAAAUGGAUUCUGACUGCUGCAGGAAAUGGAAUCCCAUUGGUCUUGAGCGAGGUACCCAGUGUCAGUGAUGCUGUAAACGGGAAUGGGCUGGUGUACAUCCCUUUGUUGAGGUCACAUCAGGAAGGUUGGGCCUGGCGCAGAAGACUCUUAUAGCAGUGUUCCUGAACUCCACGUUUGAGAUGAGAGCAUUUAUACUGCAGUGAACUUCACACUGGUUCCUGAAAGAAUACAGUGAUGCAGGAAGUCUUUAUUCUACUGUUUUUACCCAAACAUCAUGGGUGGCUCUUCAGUGCUGCUGUGCACAUUGUCUCAGGUCUGGAAAUCUGAAAUCUUGGCCUGUUGGUCUCAAGCUGGGCCGAGCCCUUAAAUCAAGUGCUUGGAUUUAUGGCUGAAGGGUUUCUCAGAAGAAAGUCAUCAGAUCACCUCUGUUUUCCUCACGUUAAUCUAGCUUGUCUUUAAAAUGGGGAAACGUUCUGUAUUUUUGUGUGCAAAAGAUCAAAAUUCAGUUGCUGGUUUUGUUGAAGUUUUUUCUGAAUCUUUGCACUGUUUGAUCUAAUAAACAUGUUAUAGAGGA